CGGUUAAUUCGAAUUAACGUUACAAUUUUAAUGUGAUUUUAAAAUGGUGUAAUUACGUGUUUAUCUGCGUUACCAUGGUUACUGGCGCCUCUCACAGACCAACGCGCGCGUUUUCUAAACAGCGUCUUUAGGAGCGGUUCAGCUGCGCUACCUCUCGUCACCUCUGUCUCCUCACCAAGAUAUUUAGGUUAGAAAGCCAUGCCUAAUAUUAGAAAAACGAAGCGUUCCACCAGAGGCUCAGUGGUUGUCCACUCUGAAGGAACUGUAGUUACACCAGCUGCAGCACCAACUGCACAAUUAAGCAUUGAUAAACUCUGUGAAGAGACCAAACGGCUUAAUGAGGAAACAAGGUUCUUGAAAGAGGAGAACCGCCUCUUAAAAGAAGAAAAUCGACUCCUUAAAGAAGAAAAGGAUUUCCUUCGUGAGCAACUUGGCAAGAAAGAGACUGGGAGUACUUCUAAAUCUGCA